rnacentral:rRNA from 1 species
GACGAACGCUGGCGGCGUGCCUAAUACAUGCAAGUCGAGCGAAAAGACGAGGCGCUUGCUCCUCUGACGUUAGCGGAGGGCGGGUGUGAAACGCGUGGAUAACGUCCCUGUCAGUCUGGGAUCACUUCGGGAAACCGGCGCUAAUAGCGGAUAAUAUCUUGAACCGCAUGGUGCAAUGGAGAGAGACGGUUUUGCGGUCACUUAUAGCGGGUUACGAGCCGCUUGGGCUAGUUGGUAAGGUAAAGGCUUACGAAGGCAAGCAGGCGUAGCCGACCUGAGGGGGUGGUCGGCGACACGAGAGCGUAGACAGGGACCAGACGCCUACGGGAGGCAGCAGUAGGGAACCGUCCGCAGUGGGCGAAAGCCUUACGGAGCGACGCCGCGUGAGUGAUGAAGGUCUUCGGAUCGUAAAACUCUGUUAUUAGGGAAGAACAAAUGUGUAAGGAACUAUGCACGUCGUGACGGUACCUAGUCAGAAAGCCACGGCUAACUACGUG